rnacentral:rRNA from 1 species
AUUGAACGCUGGCGGCAGGCCUAACACAUGCAAGUCGAGCGGAUGAAGGGAGCUUGCUCCUGGAUUCAGCGGCGGACGGGUGAGUAAUGCCUAGGAAUCUGCCUGGUAGUGGGGGAUAACGUCCGGAAACGGGCGCUAAUACCGCAUACGUCCUGAGGGAGAAAGUGGGGGAUCUUCGGACCUCACGCUAUCAGAUGAGCCUAGGUCGGAUUAGCUAGUUGGUGGGGUAAAGGCCUACCAAGGCGACGAUCCGUAACUGGUCUGAGAGGAUGAUCAGUCACACUGGAACUGAGACAGGGUCCAGACUCCUGCGGGAGGCAGCAGUGGGGAAUAUUGGGCAAUGGGCGAAAGCCUGAUCCAGCCAGGCCGCGUGUGUGAAGAAGGUCUUCGGAUUGUAAAGCACGUUAAGUUGGGAGGAAGGGCAGUAAGUUAAUACCUUGCUGUUUUGACGUUACCAACAGAAUAAGCACCGGCUAACUUCGUG